CUGCUGCGGGCAGAUCCAGUGGAUGUGGGUAUCGACGCCGCCGGCGGUGACUAUCUUACCUUCGGCGGCAAUAACCUCCGUCGCCGCGCCAAUGGGGAUAGUGACGUCAGGCUGGAUAUCGGGAUUACCCGCUUUGCCGAUUGCGACAAUACGCCCCUCUUUGACACCAAUGUCGGCUUUGACGAUCCCCCAGUGAUCGACGAUCAGCGCAUUGGUCAGCACCAGAUCGACACAGUCGUCAGCGAGCAUUUGUCCCUGGCCCAUACCGUCACG
rnacentral:sRNA from 1 species